CUAUGAGUUGUAGGCUCUGCCUACCUACUCUAACCCAUGUCUUUUGCGUACUACACGUUUCCUCGGCAGGUCCGCCUGCCGUUAGGACAAUUUAAACCAUUUGCAGUUGCAGUCAGCGUCUGAAAAUUUUAAUAUUUA
rnacentral:misc_RNA from 1 species